CUUGGCCAAGAUAAUCACAUAUUUUUCUUAUUAAAAUUCUAAUGUGUUCGUUCGGCGGUCGGUUCGUUCACAUUGCCGGCGUCAAUGCGAUAAUGUUUGUUGUUGUUGUAACACAAACAACGAUAAAAUUUCUUCCUUCUUGGACUGCGACCUUGACACUGUAAAUGGAAAUCAUUCAACUCUCUGACAAUUAAUUGUUUUUUUUUUUAUAAGGAAUAACUAACUGUAUUGUUGAAACAAAAUAUAUUAUCGAACUAAUUUUGUA